rfam:Trichobilharzia regenti genome assembly, scaffold: TRE_contig0002840
AUCCAGAUGACGAGUCCCAAAUAGGACGAAAGGCACAUCCUGGAU